CAGCCGCCGCGGUAAUACGUAGGGUGCAAGCGUUAAUCGGAAUUACUGGGCGUAAAGCGUGCGCAGGCGGUUCGUUAAGACAGAUGUGAAAUCCCCGGGCUUAACCUGGGAACUGCAUUUGUGACUGGCGGGCUAGAGUAUGGCAGAGGGGGGUAGAAUUCCACGUGUAGCAGUGAAAUGCGUAGAGAUGUGGAGGAAUACCGAUGGCGAAGGCAGCCCCCUGGGCCAAUACUGACGCCCAUGCACGAAAGCGUGGGGAGCAAACAGGAUUAGAUACCCCAGUAGUCCCUGUCUCUUAUAC
rnacentral:rRNA from 1 species